AGCAGUCGCCACGGUAAAACGAAGGGGGCUAGCGUUGCUCGGAAUUACUGGGCGUAAAGGUAGCGUAGGCGGACAUUUAAGUCAGGGGUGAGAUCCCAGAGCUCAACUCUGGAACUGCCUUUGAUACUGGGUGUCUUGAGUGUGAUAGAGGUAUGUGGAACUCCGAGUGUAGAGGUGAAAUUCGUAGAUAUUCGGAAGAACACCAGUGGCGAAGGCGACAUACUGGAUCAUUACUGACGCUGAGGCUCGAAAGCGUGGGGAGCAAACAGGAUUAGAUACCCGAGUAGUCCCUGUCUCUUAUAA
rnacentral:rRNA from 1 species